CCGCAUGAGACCACAGAAUCGCAUGAUAUAGGGGUCAAAGAUUUAUCGGUGUAAGAAGGGCUCGCGUCUGAUUAGCUAGUUGGAAGGGUAAAGGCCUACCAAGGCGACGAUCAGUAGCCGGUCUGAGAGGAUGAACGGCCACAUUGGAACUGAGACACGGUCCAAACUCCUACGGGAGGCAGCAGUGGGGAAUAUUGCACAAUGGGGGGAACCCUGAUGCAGCGACGCCGCGUGAGCGAAGAAGGUUUUCGAAUCGUAAGGCUCUGUCCUAUGAGAAGAUAAUGACGGUAUCAUAGGAGGAAGCCCCGGCUAAAUACGUGCCAGCAGCCGCGGUAAUACGUAUGGGGCGAGCGUUGUCCGGAAUUAUUGGGCGUAAAGGGUACGUAGGCGGUUUUUUAAGUCAGGUGUGAAAGCGUGAGGCUUAACCUCAUUAAGCACUUGAAACUGGAAGACUUGAGUGAAGGAGAGGAAAGUGGAAUUCCUAGUGUAGCGGUGAAAUGCGUAGAUAUUAGGAGGAAUACCGGUGGCGAAGGCGACU
rnacentral:rRNA from 1 species